GAUGAACGCUGGCGGCGUGCCUAAUACAUGCAAGUCGAGCGAACGGACGAGAAGCUUGCUUCUCUGAUGUUAGCGGCGGACGGGUGAGUAACACGUGGAUAACCUACCUAUAAGACUGGGAUAACUUCGGGAAACCGGAGCUAAUACCGGAUAAUAUUUUGAACCGCAUGGUUCAAAAGUGAAAGACGGUCUUGCUGUCACUUAUAGAUGGAUCCGCGCUGCAUUAGCUAGUUGGUAAGGUAACUGCUUACCAAGGCAACGAUGCAUAGCCGACCUGAGAGGGUGAUCGGCCACACUGGAACUGAGACACGGUCCAGACUCCUACGGGAGGCAGCAGUAGGGAAUCUUCCGCAAUGGGCGAAAGCCUGACGGAGCAACGCCGCGUGAGUGAUGAAGGUCUUCGGAUCGUAAAACUCUGUUAUUAGGGAAGAACAUAUGUGUAAGUAACUGUGCACAUCUUGACGGUACCUAAUCAGAAAGCCACGGCUAACUACGUG
rnacentral:rRNA from 1 species